rnacentral:lncRNA from 1 species
AUCCUGUUUUGAUUAUUGAAUUUGAGAUUGUUGUUUGAGUGACUACUGAGUUGGAUGAGAUGUUUUGAUUUGCUUGAAGUGGCAGUGGAGUGGAUAUUUUCACAUGACUGUCCCGUCUUUCGAGGCGUUAUAAAGUGGCAAUGAGGUGGGUGUGGUCCCACGGGAUUGUCCCAUCUUUUGAGAUGUUCUAAAGUGGCGAUGAGGUGGGUGUGGUCCCACGCGAUUGUCCCGUCCAUAGUGGCGCUAAGUGGCAAUGAGGUGGGUGUGGUCCCGCGUGAUUGUUCUGUCUUGAGAGACGAUAUUGAUCGAUCUAUUUUGGUUGCAGCAUAUAGUUGCAUCAUAGGGGAAUAAUAUUUGCUUAUGAUGUUUUGGUUGAUAGUUGAUUUGAUGUUAUAUUGUUGAGGUUG